rnacentral:rRNA from 1 species
UUUAAAUUUAGAGUUUGAUCCUGGCUCAGGACGAACGCUGGCGGCGUGCUUAACACAUGCAAGUCGAGCGAUGAAGCUUCCUUCGGGGAGUGGAUUAGCGGCGGACGGGUGAGUAACACGUGGGUAACCUGCCUCAAAGUGGGGGAUAGCCUUCCGAAAGGAAGAUUAAUACCGCAUAAUAUAAGAGAAUCGCAUGAUUUUCUUAUCAAAGAUUUAUUGCUUUGAGAUGGACCCGCGGCGCAUUAGCUAGUUGGUAAGAUAACGGCUUACCAAGGCAACGAUGCGUAGCCGACCUGAGAGGGUGAUCGGCCACAUUGGAACUGAGACACGGUCCAGACUCCUACGGGAGGCAGCAGUGGGGAAUAUUGCGCAAUGGGGGAAACCCUGACGCAGCAACGCCGCGUGGGUGAUGAAGGUCUUCGGAUUGUAAAGCCCUGUUUUCUAGGACGAUAAUGACGGUACUAGAGGAGGAAGCCACGGCUAACUACGUGCCAGCAGCCGCGGUAAUACGUAGGUGGCGAGCGUUGUCCGGAUUUACUGGGCGUAAAGGGUGCGUAGGCGGAUGUUUAAGUGGGAUGUGAAAUCCCCGGGCUUAACCUGGGGGCUGCAUUCCAAACUGGAUAUCUAGAGUGCAGGAGAGGAAAGCGGAAUUCCUAGUGUAGCGGUGAAAUGCGUAGAGAUUAGGAAGAACACCAGUGGCGAAGGCGGCUUUCUGGACUGUAACUGACGCUGAGGCACGAAAGCGUGGGUAGCAAACAGGAUUAGAUACCCUGGUAGUCCACGCCGUAAACGAUGGAUACUAGGUGUAGGGGGUAUCAACUCCCCCUGUGCCGCAGUUAACACAAUAAGUAUCCCGCCUGGGGAGUACGGUCGCAAGAUUAAAACUCAAAGGAAUUGACGGGGGCCCGCACAAGCAGCGGAGCAUGUGGUUUAAUUCGAAGCAACGCGAAGAACCUUACCUGGACUUGACAUCCCUUGCAUAGCCUAGAGAUAGGUGAAGCCCUUCGGGGCAAGGAGACAGGUGGUGCAUGGUUGUCGUCAGCUCGUGUCGUGAGAUGUUAGGUUAAGUCCUGCAACGAGCGCAACCCUUGUUAUUAGUUGCUACCAUUAAGUUGAGCACUCUAAUGAGACUGCCUGGGUAACCAGGAGGAAGGUGGGGAUGACGUCAAAUCAUCAUGCCCCUUAUGUCCAGGGCUACACACGUGCUACAAUGGUAGGUACAAUAAGACGCAAGACCGUGAGGUGGAGCAAAACUUAUAAAACCUAUCUCAGUUCGGAUUGUAGGCUGCAACUCGCCUACAUGAAGCUGGAGUUGCUAGUAAUCGCGAAUCAGAAUGUCGCGGUGAAUACGUUCCCGGGCCUUGUACACACCGCCCGUCACACCAUGAGAGCUGGUAACACCCGAAGUCCGUGAGGUAACCGUAAGGAGCCAGCGGCCGAAGGUGGGAUUAGUGAUUGGGGUGAAGUCGUAACAAGGUAGCCGUAGGAGAACCUGCGGCUGGAUCACCUCCUUUCU